UACCGAUUGAAUGAUCCGG
rnacentral:siRNA from 1 species